CGCGCCAUCUCUGUUUUUGUUGAUCAGAGUGCCUGUUUAUCACAUGUGUUUAGAAGAAUAAUGCUACGGUGUACAAAAGUGUAGAAUAUAUUUUUAUUAUUUUCCGUAUUCUGAUGAGUUUUGUUUGGAUUGAUUAUUGUUUAAUACACAUUAAUACACGAUUUUCGUUCUUCUCGUUGAGUUCAUAAUUUGACAGAUUAAUAUCUUCCGAUUCGAAUCGAAUCGUAAUAUCGUUAAUUGUUUACAUUAUCAGAGAUUUGAGAUUUGCUGUUGCAUUGAUAUAAAUUUCGAGAAAAAAAUUGAACAACCAGGUCCACUUUGUUCUGACUCGAUAACUUCUAUUAUUUUGAUAUAAUUAAAGAUGAUACGUUCAAAAAGUGAUCUCUGUCGUAAAUCAGAUUGCGUCGUCUUAAUCUCAUAUGAAAAUGGAUGAGUGAUGAAAGUUUGAUGAUCAUCAACAAAAAAAGUUCAUAUUCCUUGAAAUGGAGACAUACCUCAUAUAGCAGAAUUGUUACGAUAUAGUCGGAGCUUCUAAGAAAAAGUGAGACGUUAUCAGUAUGAGCAUUGAAUUAAGAUCAACAAGUAAAUUUAAUUUCUUUCAUGGUAUUAUUCAAAUCUAAUAUAACAUUGAAUUGUUGAUGAUAAUGAAGUCAAACGAAAGAGUAGUUGUAAGAGGAAUAAACGUUUGUCAAAAGGAUCAUCAGCGAUGAUGUAUUCGAGUAAAAGCGAUCGAAAGGGAUGGGGAAAAAAAACGAAAAAAGAAAAAAGAAAAAAAUAGAAGAAAUAGAAAAAAAAAAUAAAAACCUCUUAGAGUAACUAGGAAAUAUGAUGAAAAGAGAAUCGAAUUAAUUCGACAGUUUAUUACAUUCAGUGUGCCGGUAUAGAAAUAUUAUACAAAUUCGAAGAUGUUCGAACGAAUUACGAAACGUUAGAACUACAUGGUUUUUCUUUCCUUUUUUUUUUUCCUUUUCUUUUCUUUUUUUUCUCUUUUUUUUUCUUUUUUUUUUUUUUUUUUCUAAACAUAUA